rnacentral:rRNA from 1 species
UACGUAGGGACCGAGCGUUGUCCGGAUUCAUUGGGCGUAAAGAGCUCGUAGGCGGCUGUUCAAGUCGAACGUGAAAACUCGGAGCUCAACUCCGAGCCUGCGUUCGAUACUGGACGGCUAGAGUCUGGUAGGGGGAUCUGGAAUUCCUGGUGUAGCGGUGGAAUGCGCAGAUAUCAGGAGGAACACCGGUGGCGAAGGCGGAUCUCUGGACCGAUACUGACGCUGAGGCGCGAAAGCGUGGGGAGCAAACAGG